CCAGACUCCUACGGGAGGCAGCAGUGGGGAAUAUUGCACAAUGGGGGGAACCCUGGUGCAGCGACGCCGCGUGGGUGAAGGAGUACUUCGGUACGUAAAGCCCUAUCAGCAGGAAAGAAAAUGACGGUACCUGAAGAAGAAGCCCCGGCUAACUACGUGCCAGCAGCCGCGGUAAUACGUAGGGGGCAAGCGUUAUCCGGAUUUACUGGGUGUAAAGGGGGCGCAGACGGCGAUGCAAGACAGGAGUGAAAGCCCGGGGCCCAACCCCGGGACUGCUCUUGGAACUGCGUGGCUGGAGUGCAGGAGGGGGAGGCGGAAUUCCUGGUGUAGCGGUGAAAAGCGUAGAUAUCAGGAGGAACACCGGUGGCGAAGGCGACC
rnacentral:rRNA from 1 species